rnacentral:lncRNA from 1 species
AUUGCGUUGCUUCCUGUUUAGGGUAGAGAGACCAUAGAACUUUUUGGAAAAUCCAUUUCCUUUUUCUUGUGCAAUAUCUUUCUCUACUUCUCCAGGCAGUGUAGGUACAGAGAUGCUGCAGUGUGAGCUGGGAAAAGCCAAAAGUGAUAUGCCAGAGGGUGUGGGGAAACUCUUCAAAGCUGGUGUCAGCUCUGGAAAGGAGCGUAGGGAAGGCUGACUGUGUCACGGGUUGAUGCAUGAUUCACCUUUCCUAGGAUACUUCCGGUCAGCUGCCAAGAUGCUUCCAGAUGCAAAGCAAGGGACUCAUUUUACCCGAAUGCACUGUCCAGAACUGCCAGGAAAGGGCUGCUGGGAAGCAGGAGCCUGGAUCGAUGAUGGGAGCAGGCAGAGACACCUGCACUCUAUCAGGAAGCCCCGAGCCACCGGAGGGGAAAUCCAGUCUGCUGGCCUGUCUGGUUGUGCCUCCCAGUCACCUGCUGAGGAGGAUGCCAGAAGAAGGAAGAAUAAUGAUGUGUGUGGAGAGGAGAGGGGACUGGCCAGCUUGCAGAUGAGUCUGCAGCCUCGGGGGGGGGGGCGGUUCGUGUCUGAGGGUGCAUAUGGCUGGAGCUGA